AGAUUUUUUGUGCUAAAUUAUUUUGUACUAGAUUUUUUUGUACUAAAUUUUUUUUGCUGUAUUUAAAAAAAACAAAAGGGGUGCCACAUGACAUUUUCACUCCUGUUUAUGAGGACCGAAAUGCCCUUCAUUCCUACUUAUUAGAAGUGCCACAUGUCAUUAUCACAAUCUUUCUUAGGCUACUUAGGCAAAAUCCACUUUUUAGUGGAUCCUUCCCCUAUAUAUAUGUAUAUAUAUAUAUAUACAUAUAUAUAUAUACAUAGUGUAAGUAUCUAUGAAAAACCCAUUUAAUCAAGAAAACUUGGCAAACCUUAAUUGUGUGGCCAAGAUUGAUCCACAUCAUCUUUUUAAAACACAUGUUAAAAGGGCAUAUUGGUCAUUUGAUCAAGAUAUCAUUUCACUCUCUUCACCAUCACAUCAACUCAUUUAUUACCCAUCAUUUCUUCCCUUUUUAAACAAAAAAAUACAUACAGAAUCCAUCUCUUUCUUUCUUCUUCAUACCCCAUUCCUUUCUCUUCAAAACCCUAACUCCAUUGCUUUCACCCCAUUCCUUCCAACCUUUGAAAUAUGAAGAUCGAAGCCACCAUCAAUGCUCUGCCACCAUCAAAGCUCUCAAAGAUCGAAGAUCAAAGCCACCAUCCCUUCCAACCUUGAAAUCUGAAGAUCGAAGCCACCAUUGAAGAUCGAAGCCACCAUCAAAGCUCUCAAAGAAAAGGAAGCUCGGUGUCAUUUUAAUCACAUCUUUGUUUCUGUUUUUUAGAGAGAGAAAGCUAAUGUUUUGGAAGGAGAGAUAACAAUUUUCAUGUUGUUCACCUAGACACCAAGAACACACGCACAAGUGUGUGAGAGAGAAACAGGUGGAAAGAUGUUUUGUGUUCAAGAUGAAGAUGGUUAUCAAGAAGCGAAACCCGCGGAAGGAUUACAACGCAUCAUCAGGUUUUCGUGGUGACGAUGGUGUUGUUGUGAAGGCAAUUUUUAGAAGACCAUUUUAGAAGCAUUACAACUAUUGAUAUAAAAUUUAUUUUUAUUUUCAUUGUUAGUAUGCCAAUAUUUGGAUGAAUACGGAUGUUGUUGUGAAGGCAA